rnacentral:rRNA from 1 species
UACAGAGGUCUCAAGCGUUGUUCGGAUUCAUUGGGCGUAAAGGGUGCGUAGGCGGCGCGGUAAGUCGGGUGUGAAAUCUUGGAGCUUAACUCCGAAACUGCAUUCGAUACUGCCGUGCUUGAGGACUGGAGAGGAGACUGGAAUUUACGGUGUAGCGGUGAAAUGCGUAGAUAUCGUAAGGAAGACCAGUGGCGAAGGCGGGUCUCUGGACAGUUCCUGACGCUGAGACGCGAAAGCUAGGGGAGCAAACAGG